GACGAACGCUGGCGGCGUGCUUAACACAUGCAAGUCGAACGGAAAGGCCCCUUCGGGGGUCCCCGAGUGGCGAACGGGUGAGUAACACGUGAGUAACCUGCCCUUGACUUCGGGAUAACUUCAGGAAACUGGGGCUAAUACCGGAUAGGAAUCCUUGCUGCAUGGUGGGGGUUGGAAAGCUUCGGCGGUUUUGGAUGGACUCGCGGCUUAUCAGCUUGUUGGUGGGGUAGUGGCUUACCAAGGCUUUGACGGGUAGCCGGCCUGAGAGGGCGACCGGCCACAUUGGGACUGAGAUACGGCCCAGACUCCUACGGGAGGCAGCAGUGGGGAAUAUUGCACAAUGGGCGGAAGCCUGAUGCAGCAACGCCGCGUGCGGGAUGACGGCCUUCGGGUUGUAAACCGCUUUCAGCAGGGGCGAAGCUUGUGGUGACGGUACCUGCAGAAGAAGCACCGGCUAACUACGUG
rnacentral:rRNA from 1 species